UGAAGGUUGACAUCACCCUCAAAAGCAAAAAGAAGAAAUGCAACUUUUUACACAGGAUGUGGUGAGCAUAUAAAAAAUUAAAGAUUAAUGUUCACAGGCCCAUUUCCAUUUGACCACUGAGAUGUUUGCCAAUGCUAAGAUACAGAAGUAUGAUUCUCCUUUUGCUUGUCAGCGUAGUUUCGGCGUCUUCAGAUGAAUCGUUUAAGAAUCUGUAUCAUCUUUGCCUGUUCCACUUGAUUCAAUAAGCUACAAAACUGCUCCUUUCAGAAAAAACUUGAAAUGCUGUUUUUUCUCUGCAUAAGGUGUCAUUACUGACAUUCUUCCAGUCAGGCUCUUCAGAGUAAGAGGGGAUUCUGCUCAUCUGACUGUUCCAGGAUAUGAGCAGCUGAAAUUCUUUUGGAUAUCAUGGUGUUUUGGAUUCAGUAACAUAGUCGAAUACACGAAAGACUCAGAACGUGUUUUGCUGUAUCCAAAGUAUAAAAACAAGGUGCAGUUUAACAAGAAGGAUUUCUCUUUACUUAUCAAUUACCUGGAGGAGGGGGACAAUGGUCUUUUUAAAGCUGUGGUGAUUGAUAUACUUGGAACUGAUACAACUGUGGCAGAGUAUAUUGUAUAUGUUCGUGAGAAGGUGUCCCCACCAGCCCUUCUGGUCAAUAAGAGUGAAUUCUGCAGCUUCUUAGUCAUGUGCUCCACUGAUGGAGCCGAGUCUUCUACCUACUCCUGCAGGCAAUCUCACUGCACUGAGAUCACAGCGAACUACAGCAGGUCCCCUGCUCUGCUCAUCGACGUGUCUACGGAUGGGAGAUCAGUGGUGUGCAACGUCAGCAAUCAGGUCAGCUGGAGCAUCAGUUCAGUGGCUGUGAGCGACAGCUGUCCAUUCACCGCCAGUGACACCUUUACUGGUUUUCCGCUGUGUCUCAUGAAGAUCAUCGUGCUCUCUGUGGGGCUGGUCUUCAUGGUGGCAGCUGUUAUUGGAGUUCAUGUCUGGGUCAGCACUAAAUCAAGCUGAGUACUGUACAUAUGAAUCAAGCAGCUUACAGAAGCAGAAACACCUGUAGAUGCCCCAGGUAUAAGAAAAUAAGGUCUGAAUUGGAAGUCAACAAUCCCAUUUCAAGGAAUGCAGGCUGUUGUCACGAUGGCUACUCCUCCUCUUAAGGGCGCUCCAGCUCUUCCUCGUUUGCCUUAUUCCCCGCACCUGUCCCUCGUUCCAGCCUCCUUCCUGUCCCCCUUUAAAAGCCAGACACAGUUGCCAAUCGAGGCUCUGCAUCUGAUUCCCGCAUCGUGCGAACCUGGGACCUGGAUUUGUCUGGGCCUGUUAUGCUUUUAACUUUUUGCUCCUGCUCCUGCUCCUGCUCCUGCUCCCAUUCCCGCUCCCGUUCCCAUUCCCGUUCCCAACCCGGCACCUGGUUUUAAUCCCUUGUUUUGGAUGGAUCACCCACCCAUGGACUUUUGCUUUCGUUUGGAUUCUUCUUUGGACCUCUUCUAGGAUUGUUUGCCUCGGCCACACCUCCCCGGAUCACCAGCACUCCAUUGGACUCCAUUGGACACGCCCCCUGUCUUUAUUCCCGUCUCCUGCAUGACUUAUCCCCCCGUGUUUUCUCACUAUUCCGGAUUGUGUCGUCAGCGUAGGGUCUGAAAAGAACUGUUACCUGACAGCUGUUGUAUGUUUUCAUUCAAGUUGUUAAACUGUCUGUCCCUCUGUAGGGAUGCAAAGAGUCAAGGAACUGUCCAGUGAAGGUUUGAGAUGAGCUUAAUACUGAUGGAAAAAGGCUAUUUCCAGAGAACACUAAAGAGACACACAAGGUGUAUUUUCCACAGUGUCCCGAAUGGCAACAGAGUCCAGCCACAGUCGCCCAAUUUAAAAUUGUAAUAAAUUAUUACAAUUUUACAAAAAAGUAUCUAAAAAUCUGAAUUAUUGCUUGACACAGAAAUUUGUCUAGGAUGUAGAAAACAGACUAGAAUCAAGGGCACGAGGUAGAAAAGGAAAGGGGAAGUCAGGCCUAGGGGUCUUACAAUUUAAAAUUGUAAUACAUUUUGGUUACCAUGUUAAAUUAUUGCAUUCAAUUUGAAAUUGGUAUUUAGGUUCUAGUACUGUACUUUUUCUUUUUUUAAUGGCAUCUGUUCUUUUUUUUAUUUCAAAGGCAGCCAGGACACUAGACUUAACUUCUCUUGGAAAUGUGUCUCAUAGGUUAAUUGUUAAUGACUGUAUCCAGGAACAAGUUUGUAUACACACUGUUGUAAUAUUUUUCCCAUCGUGAGUACUUUGUGAGUUCAAACAGCAGCUUACAAGAUUGUGAAACAAAUUUCACAGCGUGAUAUAGAUGAUGCUUCUUCCUCUUUCUUGGAAAAUACAAAUCAAAUGAAUAAAAUUAUGAAUUAAUUUACUAACAAUUCUGCCUUUUUGUGAUC